AGGAAAAGAAACUAACAAGGAUUCCCCUAGUAGCGGCGAGCGAAGCGGGAAGAGCUCAAAUUUAUAAUCUGGCACCUUCGGUGUCCGAGUUGUAAUCUCUAGAAAUGUUUUCCGCGUUGGACCGCACACAAGUCUGUUGGAAUACAGCGGCAUAGUGGUGAGACCCCCGUAUAUGGUGCGGACGCCCAGCGCUUUGUGAUACAUUUUCGAAGAGUCGAGUUGUUUGGGAAUGCAGCUCAAAUUGGGUGGUAAAUUCCAUCUAAAGCUAAAUAUUGGCGAGAGACCGAUAGCGAACAAGUACCGUGAGGGAAAGAUGAAAAGCACUUUGGAAAGAGAGUUAACAGUACGUGAAAUUGUUGGAAGGGAAACGCUUGAAGUCAGACUUGCUUGCCGAGCAAUCGGUUUGCAGGCCAGCAUCAGUUUUCCGGGAUGGAUAAUGGUAGAGAGAAGGUAGCAGUUUCGGCUGUGUUAUAGCUCUCUGCUGGAUACAUCUUGGGGGACUGAGGAACGCAGUGUGCCUUUGGCGGGGGUUUCGACCUCUUCACACUUAGGAUGCUGGUGGAAUGGCUUUAAACGACCCGU
rnacentral:rRNA from 1 species